rnacentral:rRNA from 1 species
AGUGAACGCUGGCGGUAGGCCUAACACAUGCAAGUCGAACGGCAGCACAGUAAGAGCUUGCUCUUACGGGUGGCGAGUGGCGGACGGGUGAGGAAUACAUCGGAAUCUACUUUUUCGUGGGGGAUAACGUAGGGAAACUUACGCUAAUACCGCAUACGACCUACGGGUGAAAGCAGGGGAUCUUCGGACCUUGCGCGAUUGAAUGAGCCGAUGUCGGAUUAGCUAGUUGGCGGGGUAAGGGCCCACCAAGGCGACGAUCCGUAGCUGGUCUGAGAGGAUGAUCAGCCAUACUGGAACUGAGACACGGUCCAGACUCCUACGGGAGGCAGCAGUGGGGAAUAUUGGACAAUGGGCGCAAGCCUGAUCCAGCCAUACCGCGUGGGUGAAGAAGGCCUUCGGGUUGUAAAGCCCUUUUGUUGGGAAAGAAAAGCAGCAGGUUAAUACCCCGCUGUUCUGACGGUACCCAAAGAAUAAGCACCGGCUAACUUCGUG